ensembl:rRNA 5S_rRNA 5S ribosomal RNA
GCUUACGGCCAUACCAGCCCAAUAACGCCCGGUCUCGUCUGAUCUCGGAAGCUAAGAAGGCUUGGACCUGGUUAGUACUUGGAUGGGAGACCUCCUGGGAAUACCAGGUGCUGUAAGCU